rnacentral:rRNA from 1 species
GUAGGGAAUAUUGGGCAAUGGAUGCAAGUCUGACCCAGCCAUCCCGCGUGCCGGAAGAAGGCCCUCAGGGUUGUAAACGGCUUUUGACGGUGAAGAAUCGACAGGAUGCGUCCUGUUUUGACGGUAGCCGUUGAAUAAGCACCGGCUAACUCCGUGCCAGCAGCCGCGGUAAUACGGAGGGUGCGAGCGUUGUCCGGAUUUAUUGGGUUUAAAGGGUGCGUAGGCUGAAGGUCAGUCAGCGGUGAAAAGCUGUCGCUUAACGAUAGUCUUGCCGCAGAUACUUCCUGUCUUGGAUGAGGAGGAGGCCACUGGAACGGAUGGUGUAGCGGUGAAAUGCAUAGAUAUCAUCCAGAACACCGAUUGCGAAGGCAGGUGGCUGUACCUUAAUCGACGCUGAUGCACGAAAGCAUGGGGAGCAAACAGGAUUAGAAACCCUGGUAGUCC